rnacentral:rRNA from 1 species
UACGGGGGGAGCAAGCGUUGUUCGGAUUUACUGGGCGUAAAGGGCGCGUAGGCGGCCACCGCAAGUCAGUUGUGAAAUCUCCGGGCUUAACCCGGAAAGGUCAACUGAUACUGCGGGGCUAGAGUGCAGAAGGGGCAACUGGAAUUCUCGGUGUAGCGGUGAAAUGCGUAGAUAUCAGGAGGAACACCGAUGGCGAAGGCAGGUCUCUGGGCCAUUACUGACACUGAGAAGCGAAAGCAUGGGGAGCGAACAGG